rnacentral:tRNA from 4 species
GGGCGAUUAGCUCAGUUGGUAGAGCAGCGCUUUUACACAGCGAAGGUCAGAGGUUCGAAUCCUCUAUCGCCCACCA